ensembl:lncRNA
CACACACACACACACAUACCCAGCCACUAACCUCCGCUCAGAGAGAGAGAGAGAGAGAGAGAGAGAGAGAGGGUGAGAGAGAGAGACAGAGAGAGAGACAAGGACAUGAAGUCACAAAGAAAUAGAAGCUAAAGACGGACAGACAGACAGACAGACAGACUGCCUGGCAGACAGACAGUCAGAAGGGACGGUUCCCAGACGGAGACGGAGAGGAGAACGAGGGAGGAGGAGGAGAGUGUCUCUGGGGUCAAAGCGGACGGUCGGGGAGAGCCCUGAGAUUACCCAGAUCCACGCCGUGCCUCCAGCGCCCCCUCCUGGCCAAACCGGUCAACAGCAACAACAGCAACAGCAGCAACAGCAACAACAACAGCAACAACUACAGCAACAGCAACAACAACAGCAGCAACAGCAACAACAACAGCAGCAGCAACAACAGCAACAGGCCCAACAACAACAACAGCAGGCCCAACACCAUCACACACAGCUGAUGAUCGCCGGCUCCCAGUUAGCAGGGCUGGCCGCCCUCCUCCCCGCCCAGCAGCAGCUCCUCCUCCAGCAGGCCCAGGCCCAGCUCCUCGCCGCCGCCGUGCAGCAGUCCAACGCCGUGCACGCCGCCCAGGCCGCCGCCCACAAACAGGCGAGCCACCAGCAGCAGCAGCAGCAUCAGCAGCACCAGCAGCAGCAGCUGCAGCAGCUACAACAGCUGCAGCAGCUGCAGCAGCUACAGCAGCUGCAGCAGCAGCAGCUGCAGCAACAACAACAGCAGCUGCAGCAGCAGCAGCAGCAGCAGCAGCAGCAGAGCCAAUCACAGGCCGCGCAGCUCCAGCAUCAUCAGCAGCAGCCCUCGACCAAGCAGGAGCAGCAGCAGCAAGCCACGCCCCCUCCCCAGCCACAGCUGUCGCUGUCUCAGCCAAUCCAGCUCACUGCUCAGGACAUCCAGCAGCUCUCUGCAGCUGCAGCAGUU